rnacentral:tRNA from 1 species
ACCUGGGUGGCUCAGUGGGUUAGGUGUCUGACUUCAGCUCAGGUCAUAAUCUCAUGGUUUGUGGGUUCGAGCCCCAUGUCAGGUU